ACCACUCCCAAAUCCUACCACCACCACUAUACCGGGGGGUGGUAACACUGACGAAGCAGUUGACCGCCGACGUCCAGAAAGUGAGGUACUCAGGAGAAUCGGGUUUUAAUUUUCCAUCGCCCCUAGAAUACGGUUAUUACAUGAUGCGGAAGGUGGCUUCCUCCCCCCUCUUGACGGCGGUCAUACUGAUAACCGCCUGUUCGUGGAAAUCGUUCUCAGACGCUUCCCGGGAGAAGAGAUACCUGUACAAUAACAUACACGCACCUGUCACACUAGGUUUCAUCCUCAACCUGCCCAUAUCUGUGGCCAUGCCCUCGUUUUCCCACAAGCACGCGAGGUCCCUCAGCGUUAAGAAUAUCAUCUACGAAGAUGAAGAAACCCCAGAUGCAAUGUACAGGGAUGUAGCCUACUCACCGCAGUUGCAAAAGCUCACUUCAUACUUCGCGCAU